CACGUAGGGCGCAAGCGUUGUCCGGAUUUAUUGGGCGUAAAGAGCGUGUAGGCGGCCAGGUAGGUCCGUUGUGAAAACUCGAGGCUCAACCUCGAGACGUCGAUGGAAACCAUCUGGCUAGAGUCCGGAAGAGGAGAGUGGAAUUCCCGGUGUAGCGGUGAAAUGCGCAGAUAUCAGGAAGAACACCUAUGGCGAAGGCAGCUCUCUGGGACGGUACUGACGCUGAGACGCGAAAGCGUGGGGAGCGAACAGG
rnacentral:rRNA from 1 species